rnacentral:rRNA from 1 species
UACGGAGGGUGCAAGCGUUAUCCGGAUUCACUGGGUUUAAAGGGUGCGUAGGAGGGCAGGUAAGUCAGUGGUGAAAUCCCCGAGCUUAACCUGGGAACUGCCGUUGAUACUAUCUGUCUUGAAUACCGUGGAGGUGAGCGGAAUAUGUCAUGUAGCGGUGAAAUGCUUAGAUAUGACAUAGAACACCAAUUGCGAAGGCAGCUCGCUACACGAAUAUUGACUCUGAGGCACGAAAGCGUGGGGAGCAAACAGG